rnacentral:rRNA from 1 species
GAUGAACGCUAGCUACAGGCUUAACACAUGCGAGUCUAGGGGCAGCAUGAUCGAAGCUUGCUUUGAUUGAUGGCGACCGGCGCACGGGUGAGUAACGCGUAUCCAACCUUCCCUAUAGUAGAGAAUAGCCCGGCGAAAGUCGGAUUAAUGCUCUAUGUUGUAUUUAGAAGACAUCUGAAGAAUACCAAAGGUUUACCGCUAUAGGAUGGGGAUGCGUCUGAUUAGGUAGUAGGCGGGGUAACGGCCCACCUAGCCGACGAUCAGUAGGGGUUCUGAGAGGAAGGUCCCCCACAUUGGAACUGAGACACGGUCCAAACUCCUACGGGAGGCAGCAGUGAGGAAUAUUGGUCAAUGGACGGAAGUCUGAACCAGCCAAGUAGCGUGCAGGAUGACGGCCCUAUGGGUUGUAAACUGCUUUUAUAUAGGGAUAAAGUCGGGGACGUGUCCCCGUUUGUAGGUACUAUAUGAAUAAGGACCGGCUAAUUCC